AUGGUUCUUGUAGUUGAAGUACAACAGUAAUUUUUCGUGUUACAAGUCUUGGAGAUAGGCCAAGCAAGAAUA
rnacentral:tRNA from 1 species